rnacentral:rRNA from 1 species
GUAGGUGGCGAGCGUUGUCCGGAAUUAUUGGGCGUAAAGCGCGCGCAGGCGGUCCUUUAAGUCUGAUGUGAAAGCCCACGGCUCAACCGUGGAGGGUCAUUGGAAACUGGGGGACUUGAGUACAGAAGAGGAAAGCGGAAUUCCAAGUGUAACGGUGAGAUGCGUAGAGAUUUGGAGGAACACCAGUGGCGAAGGCGGCUUUCUGGUCUGUAACUGACGCUGAGGCGCGAAAGCGUGGGGAGCAAACAGGAUUAGAUACCCUGGUAGUCCACGCCGUAAACGAUGAGUGCUAAGUGUUAGGGGGUUUCCCGCCCCCUUAGUGCUGCAGCUAACGCAUUAAGCACUCCGCCUGGGGAGUACGGCCGCAAGGCUG